CAGACGUGUGUGUGUCUCUGUGCGGCUUUGCUCAAACAAACAAACAAAAAUUAUAACUCUGGCAACAGUCACUGAAAGAAAUGCUUUAGCCCUCUAUGCCAAUUCACAAAAACAAACGAGACAAUGCCUAUAGGCAAAGUACCGCCACUGGCCUUAAGGCGUUCUGUGGAUAUUCCUGGAAUAAAAUACUUCUCAGCCGUAGACAAUAUUUACUACAUUGCUAAGGAUCGUUUUUGCAGUUUUAAAGCCUCCGCACCAUCCACAGAACAGAUGCGGAAAUUUGAAAACUUUCUAAAGCAG
rnacentral:lncRNA from 1 species